CCCACAAAACGACAGUUGGUUUGAACGCGUCACGCGAUUUCUAAAAGGGAUACAGAUGUUUCCGUUUCAAAAUUCUUUGUUAUUUUAUGUGAACCCAGUAAAAUUUAAAGAAAUUCUCGCUACAAUCUAAAUACAUAUGUGUAAACGAAUUAACACUACGAAAACCUUUUGAAAAAUCAUCAAUGAAAUAUGAUAAAAGCAGUUGAAUCAGGCACAGUCGAAUAUUGCACAAGUUUCUGUUCAAUAAAAUUUUUGCGAGUGAGCAAAAUUACACCGUCUCAGAUGUCAUGUUUCAUUGGAAUGGGCUAUGAAAUUUCAUCAACUACUGACGCAAAGCCAAUGAAACGGACAAUCGACGACCGCAAGUCCACAAUGUCAUCCGACAUAAUCUAUAUAUAUUAAUACGUGAAGCAAAAA